rnacentral:rRNA from 1 species
UACGUAGGGUGCAAGCGUUGUCCGGAAUUAUUGGGCGUAAAGAGCUCGUAGGCGGUCUGUCGCGUCUGCUGUGAAAUCCCGGGGCUCAACUGGGGAGGGUCACGCGAUACUGCUCGACUCGAAGGCAGGAGAGGGAAGUGGAAUUCCCGGUGUAGUGGUGAAAUGCGUAGAUAUCGGGAGGAACACCAGUGGCGAAGGCGACUUCCUGGCCUGUUCUUGACGCUGAGGCGCGAAAGCUAGGGUAGCAAACGGG